UUUAUUUGUAUUUUGGUGUGAUGCUAAAUCAUUUUUUUCCACUUUUAAACAAUGUCUUGCUUUUCUUUUCUUAUGUAUCUUUCCUAAGGAUAGCAAUUUAUGUUGGAGUUAAUGUUUGUUCUAAUAGUUGUGUCACAUUUGUUUUUGGAAAAUUUCAUCCAUGAAAGCAACCAAUUUUCUGUGCAAGUUUUCUUUUCUUUAGUUUAUCAAUUGUAGCCUGUGACUAUAUGUGAAUUAUAGUCUUAAAAUAUGAUGCACAUAAUGGCUGCUGGCUAUUUGGUUGUAUUGUUAGAUGUGUUAGAACAGGUGAGAUUCACUGCUGUACAAGCUAAGAAACCAUUCUCUUAAAAAAAUUUCAAUUAGAUUACUCAUUGUUUGUGUUCUUAAUCAUUCAGAUACUGGAGCUAAAUCCAGACAAGAUUCACUAAGUUAAUACAAAUUUACUUGCAGCACAGACAAAAUGAGUGAGGCUGCAAUAUUGGAAGUCGUUAGAAAGAAUUUUGCAGAUCACCUUAUUCUUGGUGAGGAGGGAGGUGUCAUAGGAGAUACAUUAUCUGAUUAUCUCUGGUGCAUUGAUCCUCUA
rnacentral:misc_RNA from 1 species